CUGAAUCUACCAUUGCUCUUUCCAUUGAGAAAUAAGUUUUGCCUUCGACCCCUCAAGAUGAGCUGUUGCAGACGUUGUGGUGGCCGGGGCUGCAGCUGCUGCUGUUGCCGAAGAGCCAGACCAAGAGUGGUCUACUACGUGGGGAGACCCUGCGUUCCUUAUGGUGGUUAUCCAGGGUACACCUAUGUCCCCUCCUACAUCCCAGCACGAAGCUGCUGCUGUUCGGCACGCCCUUGCUGCUCUGGCUCACAGGGUUUCAGCCAAGUGAAGAAAUGUUAAGGAGACUCUCAAGGCAAGCAGGAGGCCUUCAGUCUUCCAGUUGAACAUCAGGGAGAAGUUCUACCUUACUGAAGGUGGCACUUCGAAGACCUGCUGGUUUACCUCCUCCUCCACUCACCUUGCUGAGAUAAAGCUUGCGUCAGCUCCUGUGUCCUCAGCUCAGCUGCACAUCUUUUCUUCUUUCCCUUAACUUCCUUCCAGGAAUCUCUUGUUAAGGAUUUCCUAGCGCUGAAGGAUAACUGUCCUCAUUUCCUUGUUGAUGUCUGAACCCGUCUUCUCUUGCGACUCCUCGGCAAUUUCCUGGGACGUUCCUGUGCUACAGACUGAAACUGGUUUUAUCAUACUCCAUCUCCUGCUUAAAAUGUAGCUCAUGCAAUGAGGGCCAGUUGAGAAUUCUCAGCACCCUCGUCAAACUACAUUUCCCAGGGUGCCUCAAAAGACAUCAUAGUACAGAAAAAAAUACGUUUAUACUGUCGAAAGUCCCUGCCUUUUAAACAUUAAAACUUUCUAAAAUUA